AUUGAACGCUGGCGGCAUGCCUUACACAUGCAAGUCGAACGGUAGAGUAGCAAUACUCGAGAGUGGCGAACGGGUGAGUAAUAUAUCGGAACGUGCCCAGUCGUGGGGGAUAACGUAGAGAAAUUUACGCUAAUACCGGCAUACGAUCUACGGAUGAAAGCGGGGGAUCGCAAGACCUCGCGCGAUUGGAGCGGCUGAUA
rnacentral:rRNA from 1 species